GACGAACGCUGGCGGCGUGCCUAAUACAUGCAAGUCGAGCGAAGUUUUUCUGGUGCUUGCACUAGAAAAACUUAGCGGCGAACGGGUGAGUAACACGUAAAGAACCUGCCUCAUAGACUGGGACAACUAUUGGAAACGAUAGCUAAUACCGGAUAACAGUAUUUCUCGCAUGAGAGAUAUUUAAAAGUUGGUUAUGCUAACACUAUGAGAUGGCUUUGCGGUGCAUUAGCUAGUUGGUGGGGUAAAGGCCCACCAAGGCGACGAUGCAUAGCCGACCUGAGAGGGUGAUCGGCCACACUGGGACUGAGACACGGCCCAGACUCCUACGGGAGGCAGCAGUAGGGAAUCUUCCGCAAUGGGCGAAAGCCUGACGGAGCAACGCCGCGUGAGUGAAGAAGGAUUUCGGUUCGUAAAGCUCUGUUGUUAGGGAAGAAUGGAUAUGUAGUAACUAUACAUGUACGAGACG
rnacentral:rRNA from 1 species